AAGCAAUAACUCUCCUUCAGUCUGACAUUUCAAGUCGAGUUAGGGUAGGGUUUCUCUUCUCUCUCUUUCAUCUCCUCCUCCUGUGACGACGAGACAUCGCGACGAAUAAGACUCCUCUCCUCUCAGGUUUUGAUCUUUUUAAUUUGUAUUUGGACCAUUAAUUUGGAGACCAGGCGCUGCUCCAUCUCAGCUAGCUCCCUUUCUCAUAUCAAUAUUAGCGAAAUUGAUGAGAACUCUGGCCGAAUAACCGAAGAGAUAGAGAAGUGCAAAGAACAGAGUCUUGAGAAGAAGAGAGGCUUAGAGGAAGCCAAAGAACCAGUUGAGAAAGCUGCUUAUGCAGUUUUAGGGAUGCUCAACAACAGAGCAUAGAAUGUAGAGUGAAUGUAUUGAACAAUACUUUCAAUUACAUGAAUGAAGUUUAUGUUGGCUUUGAUGAGGAUAUAGUACCAUGGAGAAUAAGCCUUUAAAGUAAAUCUGAUUGUUAUAUCAUAGUUUAUGUGCCAAUUGAAACAAUCAUCCCAUUAGCAUUGUGAAUGGGCAUUGUACCAUAAAGUUGUAUUUUGAGAUUAGUGUAUGCAUAUUGUCAUGUUAUUGGCA